rnacentral:rRNA from 1 species
UACAGAGGGGGCAAGCGUUGUUCGGAAUUACUGGGCGUAAAGGGCGCGUAGGCGGCCCGCUAAGUCGAACGUGAAAUCCCCAGGCUUAACCUGGGAACUGCGUCCGAUACUGGCAGGCUUGAAUCCGGGAGAGGGAUGUGGAAUUCCAGGUGUAGCGGUGAAAUGCGUAGAUAUCUGGAGGAACACCGGUGGCGAAGGCGGCAUCCUGGACCGGCAUUGACGCUGAGGAGCGAAAGCCAGGGGAGCAAACGGG